GGCCGCGUGGCGCAAUGGUAGCGCGUUAGAUUUCGGCUCUAAAGAUUCCAGGUUCGAUCCCUGGCGUGGUCG
rnacentral:tRNA from 1 species